rnacentral:miRNA from 1 species
UUCGCCUUGUGGUGGCUCUCAGUCUUUUUGGGCAGCAGCACUGCCUGGAUGUUGGGCAGGACACCGCCCUGUGCGAUGGUGACUUUGCCCAGUAGCUUGUUGAGUUCCUCGUCGUUGCGGAUGGCCAGUUGGAGGUG